UUUAAUUUUUUUAAAAAUUUUGAUUUUAGUAGUCUUAAGUGUUUAAUGUUGGUCCACUCUUCAUUGAUGAUGAUAGUAAAGUUUUAUUCUUGCUUAAGUAUUUACUUGUUGUAUGGUUUACAUGUAAAUUUUUGUGAUACUAAGAUAUUUCAAUAAGAGGUAGUGUUGCAGUAUUUGAUUUUAUGGUUCAAGGUGACUUGGAAAUAGUAAUGCAAUGUGUGAUCGGCUAAAGUCGUGCCAGCUGCCGCGGUUAUACGUAGGAUCAAAGUUAAUAUUGUUAGUGAAUAAAGUUAGUGAUGGAAUUUUAUAAAUUUUGAUAUGAUUUGAGAAGGUAGAAUUUUAAAAUUAUUGAACAUUUUUGUAGAUAGCAUGAAGCUUUGAAAUUUAAAUUAUAAAAUAGGAUUAGAUACCCUAUCAUUUUAAAUGUUAAAUGGUUUACUUGAGUAUUAGUAGUUAAGUUCUUGAAACUCAAAGAAUUUGGCGGUGUUUUAGUCUUUUCAGAGGAAUCUGUCCUAUAAUCGAUAGUACACGUUAUAUUCGACUUAAUUUUGUAAUCAGUUUGUAUACCACCGUCGUAAGAUUAUUUUUGGAGAGAGAUAAUUUUCUUUAAUUUGAAGUGAAUAAUAUGCCAGGUCAACGUGCAGCUUAUGAUUAAGUAGGAGAUGGAUUACAAUAAAAAAAAUUAAAUGGAUUUUGCAUUGAAAGAAGGUGUGAUUGAAGGUGGAUUUGGAAGUAAUGUUGUUAUAUUAUGAUAAUAUGACUUAAGCUCUAAAACAUGCACACAUCGCCCGUCGCUCUCAUUAUUAAGGUGAGAUAAGUCGUAACAUAGUAGAUGUACUGGAAAGUGUAUCUAGAAUG
rnacentral:ncRNA from 1 species